UACGGAGGGUGCAAGCGUUAUCCGGAUUCACUGGGUUUAAAGGGUGCGUAGGCGGGCAUGUAAGUCAGUGGUGAAAUCUCCGGGCUUAACUCGGAAACUGCCAUUGAUACUAUAUGUCUUGAAUUAUCUGGAGGUUAGCGGAAUAUGUCAUGUAGCGGUGAAAUGCUUAGAUAUGACAUAGAACACCCAUUGCGAAGGCAGCUAACUACGGGUAUAUUGACGCUGAGGCACGAAAGCGUGGGGAUCAAACAGGAUUAGAUACCCUGGUAGUCCACGCCCUAAACGAUGGAUACUCGACAUACGCGAUACACAGUGUGUGUCUGAGCGAAAGCAUUAAGUAUCCCACCUGGGAAGUACGUCCGCAAGGAUGAA
rnacentral:rRNA from 1 species